GAGUUUGAUCGUGGCUCAGGACGAACGCUGGCGGCGUGCUUAACACAUGCAAGUCGAACGGUAAGGCUCCAGCUUGCUGGGGUACACGAGUGGCGAACGGGUGAGUAACACGUGGGUGACCUGCCCUGCACUUCGGGGAUAAGCCUGGGAAACUGGGUCUAAUACCGGAUAGGACCGCACCGUGAGGGUGUGGUGGUAAGUUUUUUCGGUGUGGGAUGGGCCCGCGGCCUAUCAGCUUGGUUGGUGGGGUAAUGGCCUACCGAAGGCGGCGACGGGUAGCCGGCCU
rnacentral:rRNA from 1 species